rnacentral:rRNA from 1 species
CAGUCGCCGCGGUAAUACGAAGGGGGCUAGCGUUGCUCGGAAUUACUGGGCGUAAAGGGAGCGUAGGCGGACAUUUAAGUCAGGGGUGAAAUCCCAGAGCUCAACUCUGGAACUGCCUUUGGUACUGGGUGUCUUGAGUGUGAUAGAGGUAUGUGGAACUCCGAGUGUAGAGGUGAAAUUCGUAGAUAUUCGGAAGAACACCAGUGGCGAAGGCGACAUACUGGAUCAUUACUGACGCUGAGGCUCGAAAGCGUGGGGAGCAAACAGGAUUAGAUACCCCAGUAGUCCCUGUCUCUUAUAC